CAAUAAGGCAUCUUUCACAAAGUUCAGCUUCAGAACAAGUUUCAUAAAUCUCUGAUAGUGACUUUGUCUUCAAUAUUGGAGAUUCUGAUGAUGAUGAUUCACCACUCCUUGGUGAGUUUGUUGGUGAUGACUCGGUUGAACUCUGUUGGAAAGUUGGUUCACGAACUAGUGAAUCAUCCCGUUGAGUUUCUCGAGCUGGAGAAUUUUCACUGGAUGGUUGACCUU
rnacentral:lncRNA from 1 species